rnacentral:rRNA from 1 species
ACGCUCGACACCUACGGGGGGCAGCAGUGGGGAAUAUUGCACAAUGGGGGAAACCCUGAUGCAGCGACGCCGCGUGGAGGAAGAAGGUCUUCGGAUUGUAAACUCCUGUUGUUGGGGAAAAAGAGGAUGGUACCCAACAAGGAAGUGACGGCUAACUACGUGCAAGCAGCCGCGGUAAUCUGAGCGGGCUGGCAAGGC